rnacentral:rRNA from 1 species
ACGGAGGGUGCAAGCGUUAAUCGGAUUUACUGGGCGUAAAGCGCGCGUAGGCGGCUUGUUAAGUCGGAUGUGAAAGCCCCGGGCUCAACCUGGGAACUGCACUCGAUACUGGCGAGCUAGAGUACGAUAGAGGGUGGUAGAAUUCCUAGUGUAGCGGUGAAAUGCGUAGAUAUUAGGAGGAAUACCGGUGGCGAAGGCGGCCACCUGGAUCGAUACUGACGCUGAGGUGCGAAAGCGUGGGAAGCAAACAGGA